AUUGAACGCUGGCGGCAGGCCUAACACAUGCAAGUCGAACGAGUGGCGGACGGGUGAGUAAUGUCUGGGAAACUGCCUGAUGGAGGGGGAUAACUACUGGAAACGGUAGCUAAUACCGCAUACCAUUGGAUGUGCCCUGGUGGGAUUAGCUAGUAGGUGGGGUAACGGCUCACCAAGGCAACGAUCCCUAGCUGGUCUGCGAGGAUGACCAGCCACACGGGAACUGAGACACGGUCCAGACUCCUACGGGAGGCAGCAGUGGGGAAUAUUGCACAAUGGGCGCAAGCCUGAUGCAGCCAUGCCGCGUGUGUGAAGAAGGCCUUCGGGUUGUAAAGCACUUUCAGCGGGGAGGCGGUACCCGAAGAAGAAGCACCGGCUAACUCCGUGCCAGCAGCCGCGGUAAUAC
rnacentral:rRNA from 1 species